CCGGGUGCACAUAUGCUCGUACUGCUCUAUUACCCAAAAAUAUCUUAUCCAUUCGAGAGCCUUAUUUUCAUCUCUUUCUAUUUUGUGCAGCAGAAAAGAAAAGGAGGAGAAAUGUUUGAACACAUAACAGCAAGUGAAAUAGCAGGAUUUGGAGUGGGUGCUUUUCUACUUGCCGCCACUGUUUAUGCUCCCAAAAUUGAUUCUUUCAUCUCUGCCUCUCAGCGUAGCUCACUAGGGAUGUGCAAAAGAUGUGGAGAUUUGAGACUGAUAGCAUGUUCAAGCUGCAAAGGAUGUGGUGUUAUUAAAGGAGGACCAUUCAAUUUCAUUCAGUUGGAGAAUAAAUCAAAAGUAGGAUCCUCUUCUUGUACUAAAUGUCGAGCUAGAGGACAUUUUCAAUGUCCCGAGUGUUCUAAUAAACUUAGUCAGGCUUGAUAUACUCUAAAGGGAGCGUUGGAGCAACAGUAAAGUUAUCUUCGUGUGAUCUAUAGGUCAUGAGUUCGAGCCGUGGAAUCAGCCUCCGAUUCUUGUGUAAAGGUAGGCUGCCUAUAUUACAUCCCUUGGGGUACGGAUCUUCCCCCAACCUUACAUGAAUGCGAUAUGCUUUGUGCAUCAGGCUGCCUGAUAGGCUUGAUAUGCUCUGGAUUAUGUAAUCUUGUAUACUAUUAGUUGUUAAUGCUUUUGUAAUGGAAUCUGUCAUAUUUGGAUCAUUAAACAAAAGUUGUACUAUCAAUUUGAAUGAUGGAAAGAAUUUUACCUCAUGCGGUAUGCUUAUAAGAUAA